AUUACAAUUUUAACAAUACAAUCGCGAUUCAACCCGCCCCGAUUCAUCUUCUUCCUCGAUCGAACCCGGAAACCGCGAUUCAAUCGCGAGAAAUUGUAUACAGCAGCAGCGCGCGUCUCCUCCUCUUUGUCCCUUAUCCUCCUUACCGAAUCUUCCAGGUGUCUCAAUCUUGUGUUUCGUCCGUCCUUGCUCCUCAGAUCGAACGGUGCUCCUUGGAAUUCCGUUGGGAAUCAGUACUGCCCAACUCUCCAACCUUAUCCCUUCAAGAAAAAUUCAAAAUUUGAAAAAUUUUGAAAUUCAAUUCGUUUUCCCCCUUUAAUCAACCCAUAUAUUCCUUUAUUUAAGGCCUUCACCCUUUUCAUUCAAAAGGGGGGAGAUGGUUGGAGAGAGUUGGCGAAAAAAAUUGGAAAAUGGGGGUUAGAAAGGAGAAGAAUAGAAGCAAACACAGUUAUAUAAAUUUAUCAAAAAGUUGUUGAUUUCUAUUUUGUUUGCGGGGUUAUAGAUUUUCGAUAUCAAACUUCCCUUUUAAAAUUUCCCGUAUUCUUUUGUCGAAAGCUCUCAUCGGAAGUGUGGAAGUCUCUGUUUGGUUUGUUAUUGUCUCAGACACUGCUCAUCAAGAGCUUUACGAUAUCCUACAUGUUGAAUACCUUCCAAGUAAUGAAGCAUACGUGCGCAACAUUUUCUCGUGACAUAAGUUCAAGUUCUAAUCAUCUAGAUCACGCUUAGAUUGAUUCUCGAUCUCCAGUUCAGCAGAAUCAUUGGAUCAGUUCUCAGCAUCCAGAUCACACUUAGAUCUAUUCUCAGUCUCCAGUUCAGUAAAAUCAGUGGUGAUUCCUCCUUCUCCAAGGACAAUAGUCAUGAGUUUAUUUCAGUAUUUUUAGUCCUUUAGCUUCAAUUUUUGCUAGCCUUAGUUGGGGUCUGUCCCAACAUUUCUAGUCAGUUAGAGGCUAUUUUCAAACAUAGUUAGUUUCAGCUUAGUAUUGAGUUAAUAUCUUAUUUGUAUUAAACUCAUCAGUUUUCAUAUAUCUUAGUUAAAGUAUAUGAGUAUUCCCC
rnacentral:lncRNA from 1 species